GAGCCGCUGAGGGACUGCGCAGGAAGACCACAGAAAUAAACCAAAGGGACACCGCGGACAGAUGUACCAGAGGACACCACUGAAGUCCAGGAGAAUCUCCACCAAAACCAUCAGCGUUUUCCUUGUAGCUUUCUGUCCCUCGAAGUGGAAAGUUGAGGUUUCUGAGAAGUCCACGGAGAGAACCUGCAGCAAACUGAAGCCACAGACUCCGAAGGCAUAGGGAGAAAAAAUGCUUCCAUCCCCCUUUCACUUUAAACUUGAUCGCUUCUGGGACUUCACUGGAGGGCGGUGGAGUUGCACCAACCUGGAGUACAGGCAGAUCCCAGCGAGCACUUCCAAGUACUUUAGGACGUGGGGGUGACUCUUUUUUCUUCAGGAUUGUCCCACUUGCCACCCUUUCCAGCUGAGCUGAUAGGAACCAAUGAAAGUCUAGGCGAUGAGGAUUUUCCGUUACCUCAGGGAUCAAAGUAUAAAAUGUUGAAUGAGAAACCCGAAGACCUUGCAUCGCUGGGCUGAAUAACUUGUUUUCUUUUUUAUGGUGUCCAGACUGAGCAAAGAAACAUAUAUUGGGGAAAGGAUACUGUAUUCAGUAAAUUGUGCUGGAAAAAGUGGUAAGCCACAUGUAGAAGAAUGAAACUGGAUCCCCAGCUCUCACCUAAUACAAAAAUCGACUCAAGAUGCAUCAAAGACUUAAAUAUAAAACCUGAAACCUUGAAAAUUCUAGAAGAUAACACCAGAAAAACUCUUCUAAAUGUUGGCUUACGCAAAGAAUUCAUGACUAAGACACCAAAAGAAAAUGCAACAAAAACAAAAAUAAAUAAAUGGGACUCAAUUAAACUGAAAAGAUUUUGCACACCAAAUAAAUAAUCAGAAGAAUAAACAGAAAACCCACAGAAUGGAAGAAAAUAUUCACCAACUAUGCAUCUGACAAAGGACUAGUAUCCAGAAUUUACAAGGAACUCAAACAAAUAAAUGAAUU
rnacentral:lncRNA from 1 species